UUCAGCAUGGAGGAAAGGCUUAUCAGUGCGGUGGCUAACCAUCCAGAGCUGUAUGAUGCUAGCUGCUACUUCUACCGAGACAGGAAUGAAAAGGACCUAGCUUGGAGGCACAUAAGUGAGGAAAUCGGGCAACCUGAGGACAUCUGCAGGAAAAAGUGGAAGCGCCUCAGGGACACGUAUAAGAAGGAGAAGAGGACAGAGAAGGAGAAGAGGAGUGGGUCUGCAGCAGGAUCGGGGAAGCGAUGGAAGUUCUUCGCGGUCAUGGGGUUUCUGGACCCCUUCCUCACCCCGCGGGAGACUAGCGGCAAUAUGGUGCGGACCGUGGAGAACUUCCCCCCCGAGGACCAGGGACAGCCCUGAGAGGCAGCAGGGGAGUGUCAGUCAGAAGAGCCAACUGAUUCUGCAGCAGAGCCAUCCCCUGUUGCUUCUCCUGGCUCCCCAGUCCCUGGUCCCUCCACUCCUGCUGCUGCAACCACAGGCCCACAGAUGAGGACAGUUCAAAGGCGGACGAGGGACGGGUCCCAGGACGGUCCAACAGCGGUGAAGCUGGCCAUCCUGGAGUCCCUGAAGAGGCCACACCGGUCUCCAACGGAGCAUUUCCUCCUCGCCCUUGUUCCUGCUCUGGAGAGCAUGCCGCCUCAGACAUGAGAAUUCGUGAAAUUUCAAAUGUAUGAAUUAGUUUUUGAAAACAGCACAGCUGUGUUAAAUUUGGAAACAUUAGACCCUAAUGAUCAGUAGUUUUCUGAUGAGGCAGCAGGCUCUCCAGGGCAGAAACAAUGUUGUUAUUUUUCCCCUCCUUCUCCCUGAGGCUCUUCCACUCCAAGCUGGGUCCUUUUUAUUCCUUUAUCUCUGUCAAUAGUUAAAUUUUAUAUAUUUAUGUUCAAUGUUUUUGUUAGUGAAUUUUAAAAUUUUUCCAAUAAACAUUUGUA